UGCUAUGGCUCAGGUGGUAGAGCGUCGCCUUGGUAAGGCGGAGGUCACGGGUUCAAAUCCCGUU
rnacentral:tRNA from 1 species